rnacentral:rRNA from 1 species
GUCCGCACGAGCGCAACCCUUAUCCUUAGUUGCCAGCACGUAAUGGUGGGAACUCUAACGAGACUGCCGGUGACAAACCGGAGGAAGGUGGGGACGACGUCAAGUCAUCAUGGCCCUUACGAGAUGGGCUACACACGUGCUACAAUGGCAAGUACAAAGGGUUGCAAACUCGCGAGAGUAAGCGGAUCCCGUAAAGCUUGUCGUAGUCCGGAUUGGAGUCUGCAACUCGACUCCAUGAAGUCGGAAUCGCUAGUAAUCGUGGAUCAGAAUGCCACGGUGAAUACGUUCCCGGGCCUUGUACACACCGCCCGUCACACCAUGGGAGUGGGCUGCAAAAGAAGUGGAUAGCUUAACCUUCGGGAGGGCGUUCACCACUUUGUGGUUCAUGACUGGGGUGAAGUCGUAACAAGGUAGCCGUAGGGGAACCUGCGGCUGGAUCACCUCCUU